GCCAGUGUGGUGCAGUGGUCAGAGUGUCAGACUAGGACCUUGGAAGUCCAGGGUUCAAAUCACUGCUCAGCCA